GCUGGUGUAAGUGAUGACUGAAUCCUUUUUCCCCAUCCGAGCGACAGUGUUGACUUCUCACUGUUCAAGCCAGAUCUUGUCUGAUGCACCAGC
rnacentral:snoRNA from 1 species